rnacentral:rRNA from 1 species
CGGCGUGGAUUAGGCAUGCAAGUCGCGCGAUCCUUUAACUUGAUGAGGGGGCAACCCCAAGUUAGGUUUGUGGAUAGCGGCAAACGGGUGAGUAACACGUGGGUAAUCUGCCUUAAAGACAGGGACAGCACCGUGAAAACGGUGGUAAUUCCUGAUGUGGUCUUAACAGCGCAUGUUGUUAAGAUUAAAGAUGGGGACCGUAAGGCCUGUCGCUUUAAGAUGAGCCCGCGUCCUAUCAGCUUGUUGGUGGGGUAAUGGCCCACCAAGGCUUUUGACGGGUAGCUGGUCUGAGAGGAUGGUCAGCCACACUGGGACUGAGACACUGCCCAGACUCCUACGGGAGGCUGCAGUCGAGGAUAUUUAGCAAUGGGCGAAAGCCUGACUAUGCGACGCCGCGUGAGGGAUGAAGGUUCUCGGAUUGUAAACCUCUUUUUGCAGGAAAGAAACCUUUGCUGUUAACAGCAGCAAAGCUGACGGUACCUGCAGAAUAAGCCACGGCCAACUCCGUG